rnacentral:rRNA from 1 species
UCAAAGAUUAAGCCAUGCAUGUCUAAGAAUAAACCGAAUAUGGUAAAUCCGCGAAUGGCUCAUUACAACAGCCAUAGUUUAUUGGAUCUAUUAUCCUACUUGGAUAACUGUGGUAAUUCUAGAGCUAAUACACGCAUUCAAGCCCUGACUUCGGAAAGGGCGCAUUUAUUAGAACAAGACCAAUUGGCUUCGGCCAUCUAUUGGUGAAUCUGAAUAACUACGCAGAUCGCACAGGCUCGUCCUGGCGACAUAUCCUUCAAGUGUCUGCCUUAUCAACUGUCGAUGGUAGUUUAUUGGACUACCAUGGUUGUAACGGGUAACGGAGAAUUAGGGUUCGACUCCGGAGAGGGAGCCUGAGAUACGGCUACCACAUCCAAGGAAGGCAGCAGGCGCGCAAAUUACCCAAUCCCGGAACGGGGAGGUAGUGACGAAAAAUAACGAGACAGUCUUCUAUGAGGUCUGUCAUCGGAAUGGGUACAAUCUAAACCCUU